AUUCCAGCUCCAAUAGCGUAUAUUUAAGUUGUUGCAGUUAAAAAGCUCGUAGUUGGAUUUGUGGUGUACUUCGGCGGCCCGUCACUAUGUGAUGGAGCUUGCUGAAGUCGCCAUCCUUGGGUGGAUCCUGUGUGGCAUUAAGUUGUCGUGCAGGGGAUGCCCAUCGUUUACUGUGAAAAAAUUAGAGUGUUCAAAGCAGGCUUAUGCCGUUGAAUAUAUUAGCAUGGAAUAAUAAGAUAGGACCUUGGUACUAUUUUGUUGGUUUGCGCACCAAGGUAAUGAUUAAUAGGGACAGUUGGGGGUAUUCGUAUUUCAUUGUCAGAGGUGAAAUUCUUGGAUUUUUGAAAGACGAACUACUGCGAAAGCAUUUACCAAGGAUGUUUUCAUCA
rnacentral:rRNA from 1 species